GCCAAUAGGGCUGCGUAGCAGGCCACUUUGAUAUAGUGGAUUGUAAAGUUAAAUUUCGUUGGCA
rnacentral:tRNA from 1 species